AGAGUUUGAUCCUGGCUCAGCGCGAACGCUGGCGGCAUGCCUAACACAUGCAAGUCGUACGGAGAGUGGGGCAACUCACUCUCAGUGGCAAACGGGUGAGUAACGCGUGAAUAACCUGCCUUUGAGAAGGGGAUAACUGUCCGAAAGGAUAGCUAAUACCCUAUAUUGCCUUUUGUCACUAAGACAAAAAGUGAAAGCGAGGCUGUCAAAGGCUUCGGCUCAAAGAGGGGUUCGCGUCCUAUCAGGUAGUUGGUGGGGUAAUGGCCUACCAAGCCAAUGACGGGUAGCUGGUCUUAGAGGAUGAUCAGCCACAGUGGGACUGAGACACGGCCCGCACCCCUACGGGGGGCAGCAGUGGGGAAUCGUGGGCAAUGGGCGCAAGCCUGACCCCGCAAUGCCACGUGAGGGAAGAAGCCCUUCGGGGUGUAAACCUCUGUCACAUGGGAAGAUGAAACUAGGGGCUAAUACCUCCUGGUCUUGACGGUACCAUCAGAGGAAGGGACGGCUAACUACGUGCCAUCAGCCACGGUAAUACCUAGGUCCCGAGCGUUGCGCGAUGUUACUGGGCGUAAAGCGUCCGUAGCUGGUUUCGUAAGCGGAUUGUCAAAGCCCGAAGCUCAACUUCGGCAUGGCAUUCCGAACUGCGUUACUUGAGUCGUGAUCAGGUAGGCGGAAUUACAGGUGUACCGGUGAAAUGCGUAGAUAUCGCGAGGAACACCAGUGGCGAAGGCGGUCUACUGAGACGGUACUGACGGCCAUGGACUAAAGCUGGGGGAGCAAGCGGCAUAGAUACCCUGGAGUCAAGGCCGAAUCCAUUG
rnacentral:rRNA from 1 species